CAUUCUUUAUAAANUACUUCC
rnacentral:tRNA from 1 species